rnacentral:lncRNA from 1 species
UGUGGGCUGGGUUUCCAUGACCUGAUCAAAUGCAGAUCAUAACAUCAGUAAUAGAUUUUAAUAAAAAUGGAGAAAGAUCGAACAAUAAACUCAGAAAAUAUCAGCAGCUCCCGCUGUACCUUCUUCACUACACAGCCGGACGAUUAUCGAUGUGAAGUGAUUCUUGCUGUAAAAAAGGCCACUGGGACGUUUUCUCUAGUAGCAUGUCUCUUUAUGCUGUUUGUGAUUUGGCUGCUGAGGAGAUAUAACUCUCUGGCUCAGAAGAUGAUAGUGAGUCUAACAGUGGCAGCGUUCUUUGACAGUGUUGCAUAUGUCAUGGGAGAGUCUCAUCCAGAGGGCACUCUGUGUAAUUUCCAGGCCUGGUGGUUAACGUAUUUUGACUGGAGUGCGCUGGCCUGGGUGUGUCUCAUCACCUGGAAUCUCUACCUGAACCUCGUCAGAGAGAUCAGAACCGAUCAUUAUGAGAUACUGUACCAUAUAGUUGCGUGGGGGAUUCCCCUCCUAAUGUCCGCACUCCCUCUAAUUCAAGGAUACUACGGUCCAGCUGGAGCCUGGUGCUGGAUCACAGAUGAUCAUGUGGCCUGGAGGUUUGGGAUAUGGUACGUCCCACUCUUCACUCUUAUCCUCCUCAUGAUCUGCUGUUACGCUCGUAUUAUCUACGUGGCCAGUGAUAGGGUGAGUAACAUUCAGUAAAAUGCGUGUAAAAUGAAAAUGAAUGAAUUGAACAGGAAGUGAAUGUACAGAUAAUAUGCUGAUUUCAUUCGUCUCUUCAGUGAAUUCCAGAGUGUUGAGUGUUGCUUUCGCAUAGCUUUACUAGACUUGACUAUCUGGCUAGAAAGUGAGCAGCAUUCCUCCUGCUCUUUGUUUGUGGUGGUAAUGCUGACUCCUGAGGGCUGAUGAACUAUAGAACACCGUUCUGCAAUCUAGAACAUUCUGCUGCACAGAGCAUGGUUUUUCUAAUGACUAUAUAUAUAUAUAUAUAUAUAUAUAUAUACACAAAUAUGCAUGUAUGCUGAUAUUUGAGAUAUAGACAAAAAAAUAAAUGGGAAAAUUGAAUAAAUAUAUCUUGUGUG